rnacentral:rRNA from 1 species
AGAUUUCCGAAUGGGGGAACCCACUAUCUUUAGUCGGAUAGUAUCCUUACGUGAAUACAUAGCGUAAGGAAGGCAGACCCAGGGAACUGAAACAUCUAAGUACCUGGAGGAAGAGAAAGAAAAAUCGAUUUCCUGAGUAGCGGCGAGCGAAACGGAAAGAGCCCAAACCAAGAAGCUUGCUUCUUGGGGUUGUAGGACACUCUAUACGGAGUUACAAAAGAAAGUUAUAAAUGAAGCGGUCUGGAAAGGCCCGCCAAAGACGGUAACAGCCCGGUAGUUGAAAUGGCUUUCCCUCCAGAGUGGAUCCUGAGUACGGCGGAACACGUGAAAUUCCGUCGGAAUCCGGGAGGACCAUCUCCCAAGGCUAAAUACUCCCUAGUGACCGAUAGUGAACCAGUACCGUGAGGGAAAGGUGAAAAGCACCCCGGAAGGGGAGUGAAACAGUUCCUGAAACCGUGUGCCUACAAGUAGUUAGAGCCCGUUAAUGGGUGAUAGCGUGCCUUUUGUAGAAUGAACCGGCGAGUUACGAUUUGUUGCAAGGUUAAGCGGAAAAAGCGGAGCCGUAGCGAAAGCGAGUCUGAAUAGGGCGCAUAAGUAACAGGUCGUAGACCCGAAACCAGGUGAUCUACCCAUGUCCAGGAUGAAGGUAAGGUAAUACUUACUGGAGGUCCGAACCCACGCACGUUGAAAAGUGCGGGGAUGAGGUGUGGGUAGCGGAGAAAUUCCAAUCGAACUUGGAGAUAGCUGGUUCUCUCCGAAAUAGCUUUAGGGCUAGCCUCGAGGUAAAGAGUCAUGGAGGUAGAGCACUGUUUGGACUAGGGGCCCUUCUCGGGUUACCGAAUUCAGAUAAACUCCGAAUGCCAUGUACUUAUACUCGGGAGUCAGACUGCGAGUGAUAAGAUCCGUAGUCGAAAGGGAAACAGCCCAGACCACCAGUUAAGGUCCCCAAAUAUAUGUUAAGUGGAAAAGGAUGUGGGGUUGCUUAGACAACCAGGAUGUUGGCUUAGAAGCAGCCACCAUUGAAAGAGUGCGUAAUAGCUCACUGGUCGAGUGACCCCGCGCCGAAAAUGUACCGGGGCUAAACAUAUUACCGAAACUGUGGAUGAACCUCUUCGGAGGUUCGUGGUAGGAGAGCGUUCUAAGGGCGGUGAAGUCAGACCGGAAGGACUGGUGGAGCGCUUAGAAGUGAGAAUGCCGGUAUGAGUAGCGAAAGAAGGGUGAGAAUCCCUUCCACCGAAUAUCUAAGGUUUCCUGAGGAAGGCUCGUCCGCUCAGGGUUAGUCGGGACCUAAGCCGAGGCCGAUAGGCGUAGGCGAUGGACAACAGGUAGAGAUUCCUGUACCAGUGCUAAUUGUUUAACCGAUGGGGUGACACAGAAGGAUAGGGAAUCGCACGAAUGGAAAUGUGCGUCCAAGCAGUGAGUGUGAGAAGUAGGCAAAUCCG